UACGUAGGGUGCGAGCGUUAAUCGGAAUUACUGGGCGUAAAGCGUGCGCAGGCGGUUCGUUGUGUCGGCGGUGAAAGCCCCGGGCUUAACCUGGGAAUGGCCGUCGAAACUGGCGAACUGGAGUGUGGCAGAGGGGGGUGGAAUUCCGCGUGUAGCAGUGAAAUGCGUAGAGAUGUGGAGGAAUACCGAUGGCGAAGGCAGCCCCCUGGGCUAACACUGACGCUCAUGCACGAAAGCGUGGGGAGCAAACAGG
rnacentral:rRNA from 1 species